rnacentral:rRNA from 1 species
UACGGAGGGUGCAAGCGUUAAUCGGAAUUACUGGGCGUAAAGCGCACGCAGGUGGCUGAGUCAGUCGAUUGUGAAAGCCCUGGGCUUAACCUGGGAAUUGCAGUCGAUACUACUCAGCUAGAGUAUGGGAGAGGGUAGUGGAAUUCCCGGUGUAGCGGUGAAAUGCGCAGAUAUCGGGAGGAACACCGGUGGCGAAGGCGGGUUCUCUGGGCCUUACUUGGACGCUGAGGAGCGAAAGCGUUGGGGAGCGAACAGG